rnacentral:lncRNA from 1 species
UGGCUCUCUCCCCUCGGGCCCCUCUAUUGCCAGUGUCAGUGACCAUGCCCGUCCCUUGCCCCCACAGGCCUAGGGGCAGUCAUGGAGCGCAGGGCACUGCCUCAGCCUCAUGGUUUUCCUCUCCCUCUACUCAUACCUCUGACGAGUCUCUAGAGGAGGCCUGCGGCCGCAUGUCCCCAGGCAGCCAUCUUGUGACGGCGAGGAAGACCAGCAUGAGGAGGAAGCCAACAAGCAGAGGAAGGGAGACGAGAGAAUGGCAGAGGAACCGGCUCAGAGCCCGCUCGGAGAGCCCCGCCACAGGACUCUUCAGAUUGAAUCCCACCCAGCUGGUGAGGUACUGCCUGUCUGCCUCCCCCAGGAAGGCCUCAGAGAACAUCAACAGCUUGAUUCCCCGAAUCACCCACAGCCUCCCUAGAGGGCAGCUGACACAAAGGAUUAGCUACAAAAGCACUGGGAAAUAUGCACAGAAGGAACCCACACAGUGCAAGAAACACUCCCAGCCCGCACAAAGCUUUCGCGGACGUCAGCGGCUGAGACGCAGGGAGGCCACCACGCCUGGGCGUCGCCUGACUUGA